rnacentral:rRNA from 1 species
GAUGAACGCUGGCGGCGUGCCUAAUACAUGCAAGUCGAGCGAACAGACGAGGAGCUUGCUCCUCUGACGUUAGCGGCGGACGGGUGAGUAACACGUGGAUAACCUACCUAUAAGACUGGGAUAACUUCGGGAAACCGGAGCUAAUACCGGAUAAUAUAUUGAACCGCAUGGUUCAAUAGUGAAAGACGGCUUUGCUGUCACUUAUAGAUGGAUCCGCGCCGCAUUAGCUAGUUGGUAAGGUAACGGCUUACCAAGGCAACGAUGCGUAGCCGACCUGAGAGGGUGAUCGGCCACACUGGAACUGAGACACGGUCCAGACUCCUACGGGAGGCAGCAGUAGGGAAUCUUCCGCAAUGGGCGAAAGCCUGACGGAGCAACGCCGCGUGAGUGAUGAAGGUCUUCGGAUCGUAAAACUCUGUUAUUAGGGAAGAACAAAUGUGUAAGUAACUAUGCACGCCUUGACGGUACCUAAUCAGAAAGCCACGGCUAACUACGUG